rnacentral:rRNA from 1 species
UAGGGAAUAUUGGACAAUGGGGGCAACCCUGAUCCAGCCAUGCCGCGUGAGUGAAGAAGGCCCUCGGGUUGUAAAGCUCUUUUGUCCGGAAAGAAAAGCAUUCGGUGAAUACCCGGAUGUUCUGACGGUACCGGAAGAAUAAGCACCGGCUAACUUCGUGCCAGCAGCCGCGGUAAUACGAAGGGUGCAAGCGUUACUCGGAAUUACUAGGCGUAAAGCGUGCGUAGGUGGUUGUUUAAGUCUGAUGUGAAAGCCCUGGGCUCAACCUGGGAAUGGCAUUGGAAACUGGGCAGCUAGAGUGCGGUAGAGGGUAGUGGAAUUCCCGGUGUAGCAGUGAAAUGCGUAGAGAUCGGGAGGAACAUCUGUGGCGAAGGCGACUGCCUGGACCAGCACUGACACUGAGGCACGAAAGCGUGGGGAGCAAACA